GAUGAACGCUGGCGGCGUGCCUAAUACAUGCAAGUCGAGCGAACAGACGAGGAGCUUGCUCCUCUGACGUUAGCGGCGGACGGGUGAGUAACACGUGGAUAACCUACCUCUAAGACUGGGAUAACUUCGGGAAACCGGAGCUAAUACCGGAUAACAUAUUGAACCGCAUGGUUCAAUAGUGAAAGACGGUUUUGCUGUCACUUAUAGAUGGAUCCGCGCCGCAUUAGCUAGUUGGUAAGGUAACGGCUUACCAAGGCAACGAUGCGUAGCCGACCUGAGAGGGUGAUCGGCCACACUGGAACUGAGACACGGUCCAGACUCCUACGGGAGGCAGCAGUAGGGAAUCUUCCGCAAUGGGCGAAAGCCUGACGGAGCAACGCCGCGUGAGUGAUGAAGGUCUUCGGAUCGUAAAACUCUGUUAUUAGGGAAGAACAAAUGUGUAAGUAACUAUGCACGUCUUGACGGUACCUAAUCAGAAAGCCACGGCUAACUACGUG
rnacentral:rRNA from 1 species